rnacentral:lncRNA from 1 species
AGAAAAUAAAACUAGUUUGAAUACUCUCCUGUCUGGGAUAUCACAGAGAAGAUUUUGGAAGGAGCAGACUAGGGUUCAGAAACUUGCUUGAAGCCAUUAAUAUGGACAGAGAAAGGGGCUGUGAUUGAGGGGAUGUGUCUUCAGCUUGCUGUCAAGAGUCAAGGUCUUGCCCUUUGUUUAGCUCUGUGACCUUUUACAGGUUACAUCCAUAAAAGAUUUAAUAUGAAGUACCUGACUACCUUAAGUGCAUGGUCAUGGGGCCAGUCCUGUGGACCCAGCUUUGGGGCUUUCUGCCUGAGCAGCUAAGGGAAAAACCUCAAUGGGAAGGAAAAGGAGGUACAUUAAGAGGAUGGUGCUGCUCCUCCAGAAUAUGAGAGCUGAACGGACUGGCACGCAACCUGCAAUGAGGCCCUGCUCAGAAGACCUCCACCUCUGCUGGGCCUCCUGGCUCCUGGGAUUCAUCAGUCUCCUUCUCAUUUCCAGUCCUUUAGGCAUCUGCAGCACUGGGGCCAAGAGUCCUGGUGCACGUGGUUCUGAAGUUCAGGAUCUUGGAGCCCAUGUUCCCCCGCAGGGGAUCCGAGGAGGUUCUGUGUUGUUUCACAUGAUCAAGAAGCAAGAAGCUGAACCAGAGGAGGUCUCGUGGGCCUUUGGCCCUGACUCAAACUACAGUGUCCUGCUGCGAGUCCACCAUGGGGAAGACACUCCAACCUGGGUCAGCCUCCAAGACAAGUACCAGCAGAGGGUCCAUGUGCCCAACAUCCUGUCCCUGAAGAUUGAGAACCUGACCUGUGAGGACAGUGGACAGUACCGGGCUCGACUCAGCUUCACUGGAGGAUUAGAACUUACCCAGGUUUUCCUCCUCACUGUCUAUGGUAAGUGACCCCUCCUCACCAUGGCUUCCCUCCUGCUUUUGUCCUAGGAGGGUCACAUAGAUCCCAUUUUGUAAGAUUUUUAUUUAGACCCCAACCUUCAGACUCUGUCUUCUCACCCAACAGUAAGGUGUACAUGUCAGCCACAAAAGGAGAGCAGACUUGAGGUUCACCAAAGGGAGAAAAUCACUCAGUAUUUUGAGGGAGGAAAAUGGG